GCGGGUGUAGCUCAAUGGUAGAGCACUAGCCUUCCAAGCUAGCUAUGACGGUUCGAUCCCGUUCACCCGCUCCA
rnacentral:tRNA from 1 species